rnacentral:piRNA from 1 species
UGCCUAACUUGGACCCUUCAUCCCAUAACCUC